rnacentral:tRNA from 2 species
AGUAGAGUAAGCUAACUGAGAAGCUUUUAGGCUCAUACCCUAACAAUGGAAGGAUAAAGACCUCCCUCUACUU